GGUGUUUGGAAUGAAGUUUGAUCCAAGAUCAUCACAUAUAUCUUCAAUUUCCCUUGUGUUUGCUUCUUGAUUUACCUUCAUAAAUUUGUUUAUCAUCAUAUGCAUGGGAUGGGACUGAUCUCGGACCAGGCUUCAUUCUUCACACC
rnacentral:pre_miRNA from 2 species